UACGUAGGGGGCAAGCGUUAUCCGGAUUUACUGGGUGUAAAGGGAGCGUAGACGGCGAUGCAAGCCAGAUGUGAAAGCCCGGGGCUCAACCCCGGGACUGCAUUUGGAACUGUGUGGCUGGAGUGUCAGAGAGGCAAGUGGAAUUCCUAGUGUAGCGGUGAAAUGCGUAGAUAUUAGGAGGAACACCAGUGGCGAAGGCGGCUUGCUGGACGAUGACUGACGUUGAGGCUCGAAAGCGUGGGGAGCAAACAGG
rnacentral:rRNA from 1 species